UACGUAGGGCGCGAGCGUUGUCCGGAUUUAUUGGGCGUAAAGAGCUCGUAGGCGGCUUGUUACGUCGUUCGUGAAAACUUGGGGCUCAACCCCAAGCUUGCGGUCGAUACGGGCAGGCUAGAGUUCGGUAGGGGGAGACUGGAAUUCCUGGUGUAGCGGUGAAAUGCGCAGAUAUCAGGAGGAACACCGGUGGCGAAGGCGGGUCUCUGGGCCGAUACUGACGCUGAGGAGCGAAAGCGUGGGGAGCGAACAGG
rnacentral:rRNA from 1 species